GUCGCGGUGGCCGAGUGGUUAAGGCGUUUGACUUGAAAUCAAAUGGGCUCUGCCCGCACAGGUUCGAAUCCUGUCCACGACG
rnacentral:tRNA from 1 species